rnacentral:lncRNA from 1 species
CUGAUUGAAGCUUCCUAUAUCACUCAAAAUGCAGAUCAGAUCAUAAACAUAUCAAUUGAUUUUAUCAUCAAAAUCCGAGAUUUAACAACAAGAAUAGGUGAAAUUGAUCAAAGCUCGAUUCUGGUAGAAUUUGAGAGACACAUUGAACAAAUAAUUCAAACUAUCAAUUAUGCUCCAAUUUACUCAAGAAAUAUAUCGUUGGAAAG